AAAACAGGAGAUUUAAAUUCAAAAUUAAAUAGUUUAUCCUUCGAUUUAAAUGAUCUAAACAUUUUAUCUGAUAAAUUAAAAGAAAUUUUGAAUGAUCUUGCUGAUAGCAAUACAGAGACAGUCAAUUAUACUUCUUUUUUAUCAAUGAUCAAUGAAAAAAUCACUGAUUCAAAUCUUGCUCUUGCAGCAUUAAACUUAACUAACUAUGCUAAAAAUUUAAGUAGUUACAACAGUAUUGCAGAGAAACUUCGAAAUAUUUCAUCACGAUUAAUUGAAAUUGACAAUACAGUUGUUUCAAACAUCAAAAAUAAUCUGAAAAAUCUCGAAAGCAAUGUUACAGCACUAAAGAGUACAUCAUAUCAUUUUAAGGAAACAAUAUUAGAUUUACUUAAGAGGUAUAAUCAAUCUGAUGCGUUUAUCAAGAAUGAAGGAGAAUACAUCAUUAAACAUUUAAUAAGUAAUUAUUCUACUCGAUUAAUUGGAUGGUUAGAUCAGGGCUCUACUCAUCUUGUUGUCCAGGUUAAAUCAAAUAUGCUUAAAUGUGGACCAAUAGCAAAUUUGUAUGAUGGCGUUAUCAACACCUAUGUUUGUAGUGAUAUUGUUCAAAAUGUGAAUGGCUUUUGGCUGGCAUUAGGGUGGUGUCUUCUAUUUUUUGUGCCAUGCAUUAUACUUAGUGUGAAGUUGGCAAAGUUUUAUAGAAAAAUGAAUUAUGGUAGCAGUCUUGACAAGCACGUCCAACCUCCAUUCAACGAAAGCUAUCCAAUGGAGUAAGUUGGUUUUGUAGAGUGCGUUCUUCAGUGCAUGACCAAACCUCUCUGAUGGAAAACAAUUGGUCUCACACUGAUGCUCCUCCGCCUUAUUCGAAUAACCAAUUCACUCCAAGAUAUAAUUCUGGUUAUCAUUAUUAAAAUCUAUACACAUGUAAAGUGUAUAUAUACAUAUAUAAAAAGAUUUUAUCAUAAGUUUGAGUUUUUUAAUGUAGAAAUUUUAAUUGGUAUUUUGUUACUGUUUUUUAAAACUUAUGGACUGCAUAAUCAUAGAUGUUAAUACAUCUAUGAUUACGCAGGCGUAUUUACAAUUUGUGUAUUACGCAUAAGUAUUUGUGUUUUAUACAAAUCUUUGGUGAAGCGAUUUUUCAUUAUAAAUGGUUUGAGAUAAAAAUAAUAUAUUGUAUUUUGCAAAAUGAUGUUUUUAAAGAAAAUAUAAUUAAACUGCUU
rnacentral:misc_RNA from 1 species